rnacentral:rRNA from 1 species
AGAUUGAACGCUGGCGGCAGGCCUAACACAUGCAAGUCGAGCGGUAGAGAGGUGCUUGCACCUCUUGAGAGCGGCGGACGGGUGAGUAAUGCCUAGGAAUCUGCCUAGUGGUGGGGGAUAACGUUCGGAAACGGACGCUAAUACCGCAUACGUCCUACGGGAGAAAGCGGGGGACCUUCGGGCCUCGCGCCAUUAGAUGAGCCUAGGUCGGAUUAGCUAGUUGGUGAGGUAAUGGCUCACCAAGGCGACGAUCCGUAACUGGUCUGAGAGGAUGAUCAGUCACACUGGAACUGAGACACGGUCCAGACUCC